rnacentral:rRNA from 1 species
CAGAGGUCUCGAGCGUUAAUCGGAAUUACUGGGCUUAAAGGGUGCGUAGGCGGUCCCGUAAGUGCCUUGUGAAAUCCCAUGGCUCAACCAUGGAAUUGCUCGGUAGACUGCGGGACUUGAGGUCGGUAGAGGUCGCUGGAACUCUAGGUGGAGCGGUGAAAUGCGUAGAUAUCUAGAGGAACGCCAAAGGUGUAGACAGGCGACUGGGCCGAUUCUGACGCUGAGGCACGAAAGCGUGGGUAGCGAACGGGAUUAGAUACCCCGGUAGUCCACGCCCUAAACGAUGUGCACUAGAUCGUGGAGGCUCUGACGCCACCAUGGUCGAAGUUAAAAUGCUAAGUGCACCGCCUGGGGAGUACGGUCGCAAGGCUA